rnacentral:rRNA from 1 species
GCUCCAAUAGCGUAUAUUAAAGUUGUUGCAGUUAAAAGGCUCGUAGUCGAACUUUUUAGCCUCUCGUUCCAUGUCCGCGGCUCAGGCUGCGUCGUGACGUGGCGAAGGCUUUCCUGGUGGAAAGCGUUUCUGCCUUCAUUGGGUUGGUCUCGUAAUCCAUCUCUUUUACUGUGAGAAAAACAAAGUGCUCAAAGCAGGCU